GGAAGGGAAGGGAAGGAAGGAAGGAAGGAAGGAAGGAAGGAAGGAAGGAAGGAAGGAAGGAAGGAAGGAAGGAAGGAAAGAAAGUGGCUUUCUCUUUUCCUUCCUUCCUUCCUUCCUUCCUUCCUUCCUUCCUUC
rnacentral:miRNA from 1 species